CCUACGGGCGGCAGCAGUGGGGAAUAUUGGACAAUGGGGGCAACCCUGAUCCAGCCAUGCCGCGUGUGUGAAGAAGGCCCUCGGGUUGUAAAGCACUUUCAGUGAGGAAGAACGCCUGGUGGUUAAUACCCAUCAGGAAAGACAUCACUCACAGAAGAAGCACCGGCUAACUCCGUGCCAGCAGCCGCGGUAAUACGGAGGGUGCGAGCGUUAAUCGGAAUUACUGGGCGUAAAGCGCGCGUAGGUGGCUUGAUAAGCCGGUUGUGAAAGCCCCGGGCUCAACCUGGGAACGGCAUCCGGAACUGUCAAGCUAGAGUGCAGGAGAGGAAGGUAGAAUUCCCGGUGUAGCGGUGAAAUGCGUAGAGAUCGGGAGGAAUACCAGUGGCGAAGGCGGUCUUCUGGACUGACACUGACACUGAGGUGCGAAAGCGUGGGUAGCAAACAGGAUUAGAUACCCCAGUAGUC
rnacentral:rRNA from 1 species